rnacentral:rRNA from 1 species
UGGGGAAUAUUGGACAAUGGGCGCAAGCCUGAUCCAGCCAUGCCGCGUGAGUGAUGAAGGCCUUAGGGUUGUAAAGCUCUUUCGCCGACGAAGAUAAUGACGGUAGUCGGAGAAGAAGCCCCGGCUAACUUCGUGCCAGCAGCCGCGGUAAUACGAAGGGGGCUAGCGUUGUUCGGAAUCACUGGGCGUAAAGCGCACGUAGGCGGAUUGUUAAGUCAGGGGUGAAAGCCUGGAGCUCAACUCCAGAACUGCCCUUGAUACUGGCAAUCUCGAGUCCGGAAGAGGUAAGUGGAACUGCGAGUGUAGAGGUGAAAUUCGUAGAUAUUCGCAAGAACACCAGUGGCGAAGGCGGCUUACUGGUCCGGUACUGACGCUGAGGUGCGAAAAGCGUGGGGAGCAAAACAGGAUUAGAUACCCUGGUAGUCCACGCCGUAAACGAUGGAGGCUAGCCGUUGGCGAGCAUGCUCGUCAGUGGCGCAGCUAACGCAUUAAGCCUCCCGCCUGGGGAGUACGGUCGCAAGAUUAAAACUCAAAGGAAUUGACGGGGUCAUAGCUGUUUCCU